UAAAUACUCCCUCCGUCCGGAAAUACUUGUCAUCAAAAUGAAUAAAAGGGGAUGUAUCUAGACGUAUUUUAGUUCUAGAUACAUUCCUUUUUGUCCAUUUUGAUGACAAGUAUUUUCGGACGAAGGGAGUAAUUU
rnacentral:pre_miRNA from 1 species